ensembl:lncRNA
UCACACCCCCCCCUGAGGGGACUGAGGGCAGAGUGGAUGACUUCACUCAGUCACACCCCCCUCAUUCCCUAUAUAGUGCACAUGUUGCCCAGGGCCCUAUAGUGGACCUUCUGUUAAGCGCCCCCCACCAACAGACAGUAAGUACAGCUGAGAUGCAGUUCCUGAUAUUGUCUGAUUUUUUUUAGAUCACAAACCAGGUCCUAGUCUUUCUGAGGGGACAGAGGGUAGAGAACCUCAUUCAGGGCAGGUCCUGUUCUGUCUGAGGGGACUGAGGGUAGAGGAGAACCUCGUUCAGGGCAGGUCCUAUUCUGUCUGAGGGGACUGGGGGUAGAGGAGAACCUCGUUCAGGGCAGGUCCUGUUCUUUCUGAGGGGACUGGGGGUAGAGGAGAACCUCGUUCAGGGCAGGUCCUAUUCUGUAUGAGGGGGCUGAGAGUAGAGGAGAACCUUAUUCAGGGCAGGUCCUAUUCUGUCUGAGGGUAGAGGAGAACCUCGUUCAGGGCAGGUCCUAGUCUUUCUGAGGGGACAGAGGGUAGAGGAGAACCUCGUUCAGGGCAGGUCCUAUUCUUUCUGAGGGGACAGAGGGUAGAGGAGAACCUCGUUCAGGGCAGGUCCUAUUCUUUCUGAGGGGACUGAGGGUAGAGGAGAACCUCGUUCAGGGCAGGUCCUAGUCUUUCUGAGGGGACUGAGGGUAGAGGAGAACCUCGUUCAGGGCAGGUCCUAGUCUUUCUGAGGGGACUGAGGGUAGAGGAGAACCUCGUUCAGGGCAGGUCCUAGUCUUUCUGAGGGGACUGGGGGUAGAGGAGAACCUCGUUCAGGGCAGGUCCUAUUCUGUCUGAGGGUAGAGGAGAACCUUAUUCAGGGCAGGUCCUAUUCUGUCUGAGGGGACUGGGGGUAGAGGAGAACCUCGUUCAGGGCAGGUCCUAUUCUUUCUGAGGGGACAGAGGGUAGAGGAGAACCUCGUUCAGGGCAGGUCCUAUUCUGUCUGAGGGGACUGGGGGUAGAGGAGAACCUCGUUCAGGGCAGGUCCUAUUCUUUCUGAGGGGACUGGGGGUAGAGGAGAACCUCAUUCAGGGCAGGUCCUAUUCUUUCUGAGGGGACAGAGGGUAGAGGAGAACCUCGUUCAGGGCAGAUCCUAUUCUUUCUGAGGGGACUGAGGGUAGAGGAGAACCUCGUUCAGGGCAGGUCCUAUUCUGUCUGAGGGGACUGGGGGUAGAGGAGAACCUCGUUCAGGGCAGGUCCUAUUCUUUCUGAGGGGACUGGGGGUAGAGGAGAACCUCAUUCAGGGCAGGUCCUAUUCUUUCUGAGGGGACAGAGGGUAGAGGAGAACCUCGUUCAGGGCAGGUCCUAGUCUUUCUGAGGGGACUGAGGGUAGAGGAGAACCUCGUUCAGGGCAGGUCCUAGUCUUUCUGAGGGGACUGGGGGUAGAGGAGAACCUCGUUCAGGGCAGGUCCUAUUCUGUCUGAGGGUAGAGGAGAACCUUAUUCAGGGCAGGUCCUAUUCUGUCUGAGGGGACUGGGGGUAGAGGAGAACCUCGUUCAGGGCAGGUCCUAUUCUUUCUGAGGGGACUGGGGGUAGAGGAGAACCUCAUUCAGGGCAGGUCCUAUUCUUUCUGAGGGGACUGGGGGUAGAGGAGAACCUUAUUCAGGGCAGGUCCUAUUCUGUCUGAGGGGACUGGGGGUAGAGGAGAACCUCGUUCAGGGCAGGUCCUAUUCUUUCUGAGGGGGACUGGGGGUAGAGGAGAACCUCGUUCAGGGCAGGUCCUAUUCUUUCUGAGGGGACUGGGGGUAGAGGAGAACCUCGUUCAGGGCAGGUCCUAUUCUUUCUGAGGGGACUGGGGGUAGAGGAGAACCUCGUUCAGGGCAGGUCCUAUUCUGUCUGAGGGGACUGGGGGUAGAGAACCUCAUUCAGGGCAGGUCCUAUUCUGUAUGAGGGGGCUGAGAGUAGAGGAGAACCUUAUUCAGGGCAGGUCCUAUUCUGUCUGAGGGGACUGAGGGUAGAGAACCUUGUUCAGGGCAGGUCCUAUUCUGUCUGAGGGGACUGGGGGUAGAGAACCUUAUUCAGGGCAGGUCCAAUUCUGUAUGAGGGGACUGAGGGUAGAGGAGAACCUUGUUCAGGGCUUGAGUUCAUAAAGAAUAUCUGAUCUAGUCCGACCUCUUCUUAUUCAUAACAUCCUCCAUCAGCACUCCUACCGAAACACCAUGAAUAGAGGCCCUGACGUUCAGGACAUCCUGACAACGUUCUGAGGGACAGGGGUACCUGACAACGUUCUGAGGGACAACCUGACAACGUUCUGAGGGGCAGGGGUACCUGACAACGUUCUGAGGGACAGGGGUACC